UACGGGGGGGGCAAGCGUUGUUCGGAAUUACUGGGCGUAAAGGGCUCGUAGGUGGCCAACUAAGUCAGACGUGAAAUCCCUCAGCUUAACUGGGGAACUGCGUCUGAUACUGGAUGGCUUGAGUUUGGGAGAGGGAUGCGGAAUUCCAGGUGUAGCGGUGAAAUGCGUAGAUAUCGAGAGGAACACCAGUGGCGAAGGCGAGUCCCUGGACAACUCCUGACACUGAGGCACGAAAGCUAGGGGAGCAAACAGG
rnacentral:rRNA from 1 species